rnacentral:rRNA from 1 species
AGCCGGCGACCGGCGCACGGGUGAGUAACACGUAUGCAACCUGCCCGUGGCAGGGGGAUAAGCGGGGGAAACCCCGUCUAAUACCGCGUAACGCGGCCUUGGGGCAUCCCAAGGCCGCCAAAGGGAGCAAUCCCGGCCACGGAUGGGCAUGCGGCGCAUUAGCUAGUCGGCGGGGUAACGGCCCACCGAGGCGACGAUGCGUAGGGGUUCUGAGAGGAAGGCCCCCCACACUGGUACUGAGACACGGACCAGACUCCUACGGAAGGCAGCAG